rnacentral:lncRNA from 1 species
UUAGAGCGGCAACCACCCUUGGGCCUUAGCAAAGGCACCACACAAUCGUGUUUAGGUCAUGAUCUUUGACCUCUAGUCCUUAGUGGUGUUGUUAGUGACUAGGUUCAAUGAACCUUUUAGCCCUUUAAUCCUCCUAUAUAUUCAUUGCCAAUAUGCUCCCUCUUGCAAUUUUCAAAUACGGAAGUAAUAUUAUGUUUUCAACGAUCUGUCGCUUUUUCUCUCCUGCUUCUCUCGGGUAUCAAAUUCUUCCUUCUGUACUUUUAUUAUUAUUUUUUUUGUAUUUUUAUUAUAAAGAAACUUGUGAUUUCUAACAUAGAUCUUAUUAAAAUGAUGUAUAAGAAUAUGAAAACAUUUGUCGUUUGUUCAUUUACGGAUAAUUGGGUAGUUCCCAGAAAUAGAUAACUUGAAAACUUAUUUGAUAGGUUACUAAUCGAGAAUGAUUUUCGUUUAUGGGAUAUAAUUAAAUAAUUUAAUUUCUUUGGAGUUUGAAGACAUAAAACUUAAACACUGGUUACCUGUGAGUCCGAUGGAGCUCAAGGAAGAAAGGUAUAAAAGACAAUGCUUUUUAAAAAGGUUAUUCUUUAUAUUGAUCUUGUGUAAAUAAUUACAAUGGAAAGUAGAAACAAAAGAUUCCAUGGAUUAAUUUAUGUUUAUACUCCCUUGUUGAAGACACAGGUCUUUUCGCACUAGAAAAGGGUCAAAUCUGAAAUUAUUGUAUUAUAUUAGAGACCACCUUUGUUAAUUUUUCUUAAUCAUAAUGGCAUUAUUACAAAAUUCACAUGCUUAAAUUAUGUUAUAUUUAAAAAAGAAAGUCUAUUGUUCUAUAAUAUAUGUUUCAGUUUCUUCGCAACGUAUAAGUUUACAUUUGAGAUGUUUAUCAUGCCAUAUUUGAUCGACUUUUCAUAGUUUUAAAACAAUUGAUACCACAAAUUAACAUUUGGCCCAUAUUUUUAGAUCUCUCGACAAUGAACAUUGUUUGCGACAUGUAAGCCUGACAAAGAUAUUGUUCACUUGCAUAUAGCAAAUUCCGAUGGUGGAAGUUGAAGAAGAUGUGACAACCGUCGUCAUCAACGCAUCAAUAUGAGUUAUAGAGUUCCCCUUUCAAACUUCAAAUUUCCCGAUUCCAUGGUUGCUUCUACUACGUGAUAUGAGAUAUCAUUUUGUCAUAAUAGAUUGUUGAUGAAGAAUGUGUUUUUUAUAAUUUAUUCUUCGAUUGUCUGCAAUACUUUCAAAUCGAUGAGACCCAUUCAUGAUAAAAGGGUCUUAUUUAAGUGUAAUUGAAUAUCACUUGGUUUAUAAUUAGUUAACUUCAAGUUAUAUUUCUUUCUAGUAAAACAAGAUUGGUAAAAUAUGUUCUGCUAAUGUACCACCCUUCUUGUGCUUCUUCCCAACACUUUCGUCCCGAUUCAGCCGUCUCGGGCAUGCAGUGUCAACUUAGUCCAACCACCUUGGUCCGGUAGUACGAUACGACAUGCUUAUCUGCUCAUUAUGGAAUGGGAAAUAAUCUCAAUACCUUUCAAAAAGAGAUACAAAUUCUUCUUAAUAAAUAAAUAACUUUUUGCUGCAUAUUACACUCUUAUUGAUUUGCCACAUGUUAUUUUAC